ACCGCACGCGCGGGUACACACAGGAAACAAACGACGAGGUGCGCGGCGACUGCUCUACGUCCGGGCUGCGGCGGCGGCGGCUGCUGCGGGCGGCGGCGGCAGGGUGACCUCGACGUCGGCGCUGAGGCCGAACCAGCCGCCGUCGUAGGUGGCUGUGUGUGCGGACGUGAGCGCCACCUGGCUGCUGUCGGGCGUGCGCACCAGCAGCUCAAACACCUGGCGCAGGGAGGCCAGCGGGCCGUAGUUCUGGGGGGGGGGGGAGAGGGAGGGGACAGAUGAGGAAGGAAGGGCGUGGAGGGGGUCAUACGAAGGGGGUUACACCAACCCAGGAAUGCAGUGCGAGGCUGCCGCCAGGUGUAGUCGGAGUAGAGGAGGCCGAGCGGGGGAGGGGCCAGUCAGUCCCACACAUAAAAUACCGUACAGCCGCCAGGAAAGGAAAGGCGUCCCCCCUCCCCCGCCCGCACAUGCGCGAUGACAUCCAGGCCCGGCCCCCACCGCGACACCACCCGCUCGGAUCCAUCCCACCCUCUCCGCCCUCUUUACCCACCCCACCCUCCACGCGCCCCCAGCUCCACGCCAGCUUCCAGACGUCACGCACCUCCCCCCUACCACCCAAUGCCCCCCACACACACCUGUAUGAGCCACGUGACCGUGUUGUCCCACUGCUCGGCCGGCACCGACAGCCGACUGGCCUCCACUGCGUGAUGCACCAACUUCUCACCUGCGCCUGGCCCCGUGCUUUCGGGGGUGUGGACCCUCGUCGUUACGUUUCGGAGUUCCAGCGGGCCGGGCCCUGGCCGACUAAGCCCAUGGCCUGGCCGCUACUGCGCAGCCUCCUGGUAGCCCGCGCCCCAGGAGGCUGCGCCCCAGGAGGCUGCGCAGUAGGGGCCAGGCCAUGGGCCAAACGGCCAGGAUGACAGUCAUGAUUGCGGGCCCGGUUGCUGAAACAGUCCGGCCUGGCCUCCGGAACGUAACGAAGAUGGUCCCAACCGCCGAAAGCACGGGGCCCACGUAGUCCGCGUAGUCGGCGUAUUCCGUCAGGUGAGGGAUAGUCCUUGCUAAGCCUGCUUUUCAUGAGCAGAAGGCUCUGACGCCAAGCUGCGCGAAAUGCGUUUGAAGAGGGCGCGCCCCAGCCACACCAGGUCCGUGACGAGGUCUGCGCGCACGCAGACUGCUCUUACCAUGCCCUAUUAUCCCCAAUUUGCGCAAGGAUUCGGGCACUCACUUGGCUCCACCCUCAGCUCCUCGAUUCGAGCCUCGAGGGCCUCGAGGGCCGCGGCGUUGGCCGUGGCAUGGGCCGCGAUCUGCUCUUCGAGCCGGUCAAUCCGCUGCUGCAAGUCCACCUGGUCAAUCUGCUGAUGCAUACUGUCCAACUGAGGUUGCGGCGGCUGGGCCAUGAUACCGGCGAGCUGAUGCAAGUUGGCGUUGGUAAGUAAAGGCUAUAGGUGAGCGAUGCGAUGCGAACUUGUAGGUGCGAUACCCCUGCUCUGGCAUCGGUAGUGCGCGGCGCGGGGGCUGGAAUGAAUGAAUACGCGCCCCGCACCUGCCCUGGACCGGUGGACCGUCAAUCUGCGUGGCCUCUGGGCCACAUUCGUCGCCACAUUCCUGCCGCACCAAUUUCAUCCGUCUUCAUCCAAACCUACGUACGUACUUCAGGGCGGCGUAUCUGUGUUUGUGUUGUUGUUGGUUACAAGGUGGUAUCUAGCCCCGCCGUUGCAGACGCGCUGCCCUACCUAGGGCCUGCAGCACUGCAUUCUCACCGGCACACCGCCAGCGCUGCCCCUACUUUGGGGCUGAGCCCCCUGGGCGAAGCGAUCCAAGGGGAGCCGAAGCGCCUUAGGUUUGCCCCUGUCCAUGCGCGGCUGCCUGCCAGCCUGCCUGCGUGUGUGCGUGUCUGCCCGAUGCGUGCGUCCCCCACCUCGAGCUGCCACACUCCCCCACCCAAAGGCACACGGCACUGGCAGACACAGUAAUCCUUCCUUCAGUUCUACGAGCAAGGACGGCUCCACCUCACAACAGCUCCAGCCAGGUGCCCUCCGCGUUGCCCACGCCACGGUACCGGUCGAACCCCUGCACGGUACUGUGGCAAGGGAAGGCACGCGUGGAUGGUGUUGAGAUCUAGGACAAGCAAGAGCAGAGGGGAUGAAAGACGAGUUCCCGUUGUGAUGACUGAAAUUCCGAAAUCCCACAAGGCUAGGCAGGGCACGCGUGGAUGGCGUGUGGAAUGUGCACACCGCGACCAUGCAUCCAUGCCUAAACUGAUUGGGGCCCAAGACCCGUUCUGCAGCGGGCCGAUGCGUGUGUGUGCCUGCGUUUGAUCGUGCGCCUGCAGUGGGUUUUCGUGUCGGCAACGGUUUGGGGUGUGGGUGUUGGUCCUGUGUCUCGUGUCUUUGGAUCCCCUGUCUUUGGUCUGCCCUUGCUUUGCCCCGGAAGGAUGCCCUUGGGUUCCGUGCUUGGUGCGGUUGUCGCUGGCGUUCUGCCUGCUCGUGUUGCAGGGUGUGUGCAAGUGCGGUGCUGUGCCUUUCCCAUUCCUUCUCCUUGCAGCCACCAAAGAAAGCACGCCCCAGCGCUGGUGGCCCGAGUCCCAACGCCUGUGCCUCGCUCCCCAAGUGUGAAGCAAUGUGUUCGUGGUGGGGGUUCUAAAUACCCAAACCAAACCAACACCCACGAAAGCGAGGCAGAGGCGUUAGUUGCAAGCGAUAAUACUUAUUGGAUGUGGCCGAGGCGUCAAUGACGAGUGGAGCAGCAGGGCGAGCGGCGCCGGCGAUAACUGGGGGGAUGAGGCGAAGGGCCGAAGGGGUCUCCGGGGAGAGGCCGACGCCAGGACCUCGGUUUAGGGUUAAAGUUUGGGGAUGCCGCAUAAGCGUAGAGUCCGGCGCAAAGCAUUUGCGCGAAGGCAAUCGCGAAUAGUCAAGUCCAGUGGGGAACUCCAGUGACCUCCACAGUUCCAGUCAGGUGAUCCCCGUGUUCCGGGUUCCUACGUUUCCCCGUUGUUUAACCCCCGUCACCCGGCACCCUAACCCGCGGUGCUGGCUUGCCAGGAGGGCCUCGACAGUCCUAUGCAUGGACGGAGCCGAACAGUGCGAGGCUGUGGCUUGCGGCGGCGGCGGGCGCUGCGUGUGUGAAAGCAGAUAUUCGCAGCUUGGGUAGCUUAGCGCAGGCCCUGAAUACCGUAGCGGUUCUGGUGAAGACACGACGACAGGUGGAACCGUGCAAGAGACCUGACAUCCAAUUUACAACCGUGCGACUUUUGCGGUGUCGCCACAGCAGACUGCAUCCGCCCCCACCCCUACCACUGCGCCCAUCACCGCCACGGCGCCACCGGCUCAUAUCCACACAGCGGCCUACACCACCACACGGCCAUCGCGUGACAGCCUCAACCAAGUAACCAACAGAGUCCGCAUAGGCGACACCUUUACCCGGCUUUUCACCAGCCUACACGGGUCCGCUACAUACACGGGGACCCACUUGAAACACCCGACGCCGAACAACGGCCGCACACCCUGCGAUGCGCCCAAAUGACCACACGCGCGGGCGCACACAGGAGACACACCACGAGACUCUGAGGGUGGCGACUGCUCUACGUCCGGGCUGCGGCGGCGACGGCGGCUGCGGGUGGCGGCGGCAGGGUGACCUCGACGUCGGCGCUGAGGCCGAACCAGCCGCCGUCGUAGGUGGCUGUGUGUGCGGACGUGAGCGCCACCUGGCUGCUGUCGGGCGUGCGCACCAGCAGCUCAAACACCUGGCGCAGGGAGGCCAGCGGGCCGUAGUUCUGGGGAGGGGGGAGAGGGAGGGGACAGAUGAGGAAGGAAGGGCGGGGGGGGGGGUUACAUUCAUGAUUAAUUAAGGAAGUCGUAGGGGGGGGUCAUACGAAGGGGGUCACACCUCUCUACCCACCCCACCCUCCACGCGCCCCCACCUCCACGCCAGCUUCCAGACCUCACGCCCCUCCCCCCUACCACCCAAUGCCCC
rnacentral:lncRNA from 1 species